GAUGAACGCUGGCGGCGUGCCUAAUACAUGCAAGUCGAGCGAACAGACGAUGAGCUUGCUCCUCUGACGUUAGGGGAGGACGGGUGAGUCACACGUGGAUCCCCUCCCUAUAUGACUGGGAUCACUUGGGGAAACCGGCGAUAAUACCGGAUAACAUGUUGCACCGCGUGGGUCAACGGUGAAAGACGGUCUUGCUGUAUCUUAUCGCUGGUUCCGGGCCGCUUUGGCUGGUUGGUAAGGUAACAGCUUACCAAGGGUACGCUGCGUGGCCGACCUGAGAGGGGGAACGGCCCCACUGGAACUGAGAGGCGGCCCAGGCUCCGAGGGGAGGCAGCAGUAGGGACGCGGGCGCAAAGGGCGAAAGCCUGACGGAGCGACGCCGCGUGAGUGAAGAAGGGCCUCGGAUCGUAAAACGCUGUUAUGAGUGAAGAACAAAUGUGUAAGUAACGAUGCGCGUCUGGACGUUACCUAAUCAGAAAGCCCCGCCUAACUACGG
rnacentral:rRNA from 1 species